rnacentral:rRNA from 1 species
CCUACGGGAGGCAGCAGUGAGGAAUAUUGGUCAAUGGCCGAGAGGCUGAACCAGCCAAGUCGCGUGAGGGAAGACGGCCCUACGGGUUGUAAACCUCUUUUGUCGGGGAGCAAAGAGAGUCACGUGUGACUCAUUGAGAGUACCCGAAGAAAAAGCAUCGGCUAACUCCGUGCCAGCAGCCGCGGUAAUACGGAGGAUGCGAGCGUUAUCCGGAUUUAUUGGGUUUAAAGGGUGCGCAGGCGGAGGUGCAAGUCAGCGGUGAAAGUUUGUGGCUCAACCAUAAAAUUGCCGUUGAAACUGGUUGACUUGAGUAUAUUUGAGGUAGGCGGAAUGCGUGGUGUAGCGGUGAAAUGCAUAGGUAUCACGCAGAACUCCGAUUGCGAAGGCAGCUUACUAAACUAUAACUGACACUGAAGCACGAAAGCGUGGGGAUCAAACAGGAUUAGAUACCCCGGUAGUC